rnacentral:rRNA from 1 species
CCUANGGGUGGCAGCAGUAGGGAAUAUUGGACAAUGGGCGAAAGCCUGAUCCAGCCAUGCCGCGUGAGUGAUGAAGGCCUUCGGGUCGUAAAACUCUUUUCUGAGGGAAGAACAUCCGGGGCAGGAAAUGGUCCCGGCUUGACGGUACCUCAGGAAUAAGCAACGGCUAACUCCGUGCCAGCAGCCGCGGUAAUACGGAGGUUGCGAGCGUUGUUCGGAUUAACUGGGCGUAAAGGGAGCGCAGGUGGUUUGGUAAGUCUAAAGUGAAAGCCCGGGGCUCAACCUCGGAAGUGCUUUGGAUACUGCCAGACUCGAGUUCGUGAUAGGAAAGCGGAAUUCCAGGUGUAGCGGUGAAAUGCGUAGAUAUCUGGAGGAACACCGGUGGCGAAGGCGGCUUUCUGGCGCGAUACUGACACUGAGGCUCGAAAGCAUGGGGAGCGAACGGGAUUAGAUACCCGUNUANUC